GAAUAUUGGACAAUGGGCGAAAGCCUGAUCCAGCCAUGCCGCGUGUGUGAAGAAGGUCUUCGGAUUGUAAAGCACUUUAAGUUGGGAGGAAGGGCAGUAAGUUAAUACCUUGCUGUUUUGACGUUACCGACAGAAUAAGCACCGGCUAACUCUUUGCCAGCAGCCGCGGUAAUACAGAGGGUGCAAGCGUUAAUCGGAAUUACUGGGCGUAAAGCGCGCGUAGGUGGUUUGUUAAGUUGGAUGUGAAAGCCCUGGGCUUAACCUGGGAAUUGCAUUCGAUACUGUCUUGCUAGAGUACGGUAGAGGGAAGUGGAAUUUCCGGUGUAGCGGUGAAAUGCGUAGAUAUCGGAAGGAACACCAGUGGCGAAGGCGACUUCCUGGGCCAGUACUGACGCUGAGGUGCGAAAGCGUGGGGAGCAAACAGG
rnacentral:rRNA from 1 species